AGUGUCCAAGUGGGGCAGGAUCCAGGCGCUGUGGGAUGCCUCAAGUGGAGCUUUAAGCCAGCAAAGGACUUGAAUCAUGGUGUUCACCUCAGGACAAGUUUGGUAUUCACAGAGCGGCGUCAGCCCUGCACAGAGCCCGGGUGGUGCUGAGUGCUGGGGAAAUCCUGCAGACCUGCUGCUUAAACCACACUGAUAAAGUCUCCAGGCCUCUUCCUUGGGGAGGAAGCGUUUCUCCUGUGUGACACAAUACCCCAGCUGGUGUUUGCACUGAGACCAAAGUGUGGAUCUGGACUCCUUGGAGACUGAAAUGAGGGAAUUUAUCAGCAGAU